GUAGGUGGGCAAGCGUUGUCCCGGGAAUUAUUGGGCGUAAAGCGCGCGCAGGGCGGUCCUUUAAGUCUGAUGUGAAAGCCCACGGCUCAACCGUGGAGGGUCAUUGGAAACUGGGGGACUUGAGUACAGAAGAGGAAAGCGGAAUUCCAAGUGUAGCGGUGAAAUGCGUAGAGAUUUGGAGGAACACCAGUGGCGAAGGCGGCUUUCUGGUCUGUAACUGACGCUGAGGCGCGAAAGCGUGGGGAGCAAACAGGAUUAGAUACCCUGGUAGUCCACGCCGUAAACGAUGAGUGCUAAGUGUUAGGGGGUUUCCGCCCCUUAGUGCUGCAGCUAACGCAUUAAGCACUCCGCCUGGGGAGUACGGCCGCAAAGGCUG
rnacentral:rRNA from 1 species